UUUCUUUGCUGGCGACCGGCGCACGGGUGAGUAACACGUAUCCAACCUGCCCUUUAUUCGGGGAUAGCCUUUCGAAAGAAAGAUUAAUACCCGAUAGCAUAAUGAUUCCGCAUGGUUUCAUUAUUAAAGGAUUCCGGUAAAGGAUGGGGAUGCGUUCCAUUAGGUUGUUGGUGAGGUAACGGCUCACCAAGCCUUCGAUGGAUAGGGGUUCUGAGAGGAAGGUCCCCCACAUUGGAACUGAGACACGGUCCAA
rnacentral:rRNA from 1 species